rfam:Lyngbya majuscula 3L genomic scaffold scf52063, whole genome shotgun sequence.
ACCCCUGUGAUGCAAUUGGUAGACAUCACUCCCCCAGAACGAGUGUCUUGCAGGUUCAAAUCCUGCCAGGGGUA